AAAUUCUAGUCUUAUCGGUGGAUCACUCGGCUCGUAGGUCGAUGAAGAACGCAGCCAACUGCGAUAAUUAGUGUGAACUGCAGAAACCUUGAACACAAAACUUUCGAAUGCACAUUGCGCCAUUGGAUUUUUCCUCUGGCACGCCUGGUUCAGGGUCGU
rnacentral:rRNA from 1 species